AGAGUUUGAUCCUGGCUCAGGACGAACGCUGGCGGCGCGCCUAACACAUGCAAGUCGAACGAGAGAGAGGGAGCUUGCUUCCUCAAUCGAGUGGCGAACGGGUGAGUAACGCGUGAGGAACCUGCCUCAAAGAGGGGGACAACAGUUGGAAACGACUGCUAAUACCGCAUAAGCCCACGGCUCGGCAUCGAGCAGAGGGAAAAGGAGCAAUCCGCUUUGAGAUGGCCUCGCGUCCGAUUAGCUAGUUGGUGAGGUAACGGCCCACCAAGGCGACGAUCGGUAGCCGGACUGAGAGGUUGAACGGCCACAUUGGGACUGAGACACGGCCCAGACUCCUACGGGAGGCAGCAGUGGGGAAUAUUGCACAAUGGGGGAAACCCUGAUGCAGCGACGCCGCGUGGAGGAAGAAGGUCUUCGGAUUGUAAACUCCUGUUGUUGAGGAAGAUAAUGACGGUACUCAACAAGGAAGUGACGGCUAACUACGUGCCAGCAGCCGCGGUAAAACGUAGGUCACAAGCGUUGUCCGGAAUUACUGGGUGUAAAGGGAGCGCAGGCGGGAGAACAAGUUGGAAGUGAAAUCCAUGGGCUCAACCCAUGAACUGCUUUCAAAACUGUUUUUCUUGAGUAGUGCAGAGGUAGGCGGAAUUCCCGGUGUAGCGGUGGAAUGCGUAGAUAUCGGGAGGAACACCAGUGGCGAAGGCGGCCUACUGGGCACCAACUGACGCUGAGGCUCGAAAGUGUGGGUAGCAAACAGGAUUAGAUACCCUGGUAGUCCACACCGUAAACGAUGAUUACUAGGUGUUGGAGGAUUGACCCCUUCAGUGCCGCAGUUAACACAAUAAGUAAUCACCCUGGGGAGUACGACCGCAAGGUUGAAACUCAAAGGAAUUGACGGGGGCCCGCACAAGCAGUGGAGUAUGUGGUUUUAAUUCGACGCAACGCGAAGAACCUUACCAAGUCUUGACAUCCCUUGACGAACAUAGAAAUAUGUUUUCUCUUCGGAGCAAGGAGACAGGUGGUGCAUGGUUGUCGUCAGCUCGUGUCGUGAGAUGUUGGGUUAAGUCCCGCAACGAGCGCAACCCUUAUGGUCAGUUACUACGCAAGAGGACUCUGGCCAGACUGCCGUUGACAAAACGGAGGAAGGUGGGGAUGACGUCAAAUCAUCAUGCCCUUUAUGACUUGGGCUACACACGUACUACAAUGGCGUUAAACAAAGAGAAGCAAGACCGCGAGGUGGAGCAAAACUCAGAAACAACGUCCCAGUUCGGACUGCAGGCUGCAACUCGCCUGCACGAAGUCGGAAUUGCUAGUAAUCGUGGAUCAGCAUGCCACGGUGAAUACGUUCCCGGGCCUUGCACACACCGCCCGUCA
rnacentral:rRNA from 1 species